GGUCCUGUAGUGUAGUGGUUUAUCACUUGGGAUUUUGAACACGCUCACCGGACUGGCUCUUCCCAUAACCCAGGUUCGAACCCUGGCAGGACCU